CGCCGUUCGGAUUUUACGUCCGGUAGUACCUGUCCAGUGCGUAGUAUGCGUAAACGGCGGCUGUAAUCUGACGGUCUGAAGGUAGCGAAAUUCCUAGCCCUUUAAUUGAGGGCCUGCAUGAAGGUUUGACGAGGGCCCCACUGUCUCUUCUUUUAAGAGGUUGAAAUUUAGUUGGAGGUGCAGACGCCUUCUUUAUUAAGUUAGACAAAAAGACCCCGUGCAAUUUAAAAGAUGGGUAGAGGUGUUUGAAUCCCCCUGAUUUUUAGGUGGGGCGCCUGGGAAGUAAACAAAACCUUCUCUUAUAGAGGCAACACGACAUGUGAUGAUCCAGAAUGUCUGAUAACAGGAGAAAUUACGCCGGGGAUAACAGAGUAAUCCCGCAGUAGAGUUCGUAUUGGCUGCGGGGAUUGCCACCUCGAUGUUGAAUUAGGGACAAUAUCUCUAAAGGUUGCAGAAGCUGAUGAAGUGGGUCUGUUCGACCUUUGAAACCCU
rnacentral:rRNA from 1 species